GCCAGCAUGGUGCUGUGUACUGUACUCCCCACUACUGAGGAGGCCGAGGACAGUAGAUGGUUUUGAGUUCAGGUGCUUUAAACUGCAGUAGGGCUAAGCCGAUCAGAUGGCCUCACUAAGUCUGGCAUCGACAUGGGGAGCCCCUGGGAGGGAUGGGUCAUCAGGUAGCCUAAAGAUGGGCUAACCAACCCAGGCCAGGAAUAGAGCAGGUCAAAGCCCAUGUGCCAACCAAUAGUGGGACUAGAAGCAUGAGUGGCCACUGAACUUCUAACCUGGUCAAAAUAGGGAGAACCACUCUCA
rnacentral:SRP_RNA from 1 species